rnacentral:rRNA from 1 species
CCUACGGGUGGCAGCAGUGAGGAAUAUUGGUCAAUGGACGCAAGUCUGAACCAGCCAUGCCGCGUGCAGGAAGACGGCUCUAUGAGUUGUAAACUGCUUUUGUACGAGGGUAAACGCAGAUACGCGUAUCUGUCUGAAAGUAUCGUACGAAUAAGGAUCGGCUAACUCCGUGCCAGCAGCCGCGGUAAUACGGAGGAUUCAAGCGUUAUCCGGAUUUAUUGGGUUUAAAGGGUGCGUAGGCGGGAGGAUAAGUUAGAGGUGAAAUCCCGAGGCUCAACUUCAGAAUUGCCGCUGAUACUGGUCGUCUAGAGAGUAGGAGAGGUAUGCGGAAUGCAUGGUGUAGCGGUGAAAUGCAUAGAGAUCACACAGAACACCGAUUGCGAAGGCAGCUUACCAAGCUACAUCUGACGUUGAGGCACGAAAUCGUGGGGAGCAAACAGGAUUAGAUACCCGUGUAGUC